rnacentral:lncRNA from 1 species
CCCAAUCAUAGCAUUUGAGACUGUAUACUCCCACAUGCGCCUGGACAAUGAAAGAAAAGAAAAAUGUACUUUUCCCCCCCAAACAGCAGCUGGAAGGCAAGCUAUCUUUAAGUAAGGAGCACACCUCCGUUCUUCCCUGAAGGAGAUUGUCACCUAGCUCUCAAGCCUGCCUGUGACGAUGCCUCAUCAACCUGCAGGUGAGAAGCCUGGAGCGCCUUCCCUGAUGCCUGGCAGAUGGUAAGACUUUGUUGCCUCGAGUCUUCCAGAAGCAGAAGGCCCCUGGAGUCUUGGUUUAUUUGUGCACAGAAUGGUCUGACUGCUCAAAUAUCUCCAGGGGAUUGAUCCAAAGUCAGGCCCUGAGCACAUGGAGCUGAAGGAGAAGACUAACCUGUACAGAAGAUAUCUUCUGUGCUCUGGAAUGUUCUCUCGUGUUACCAGUCUUCUUGGAAAGACACAUUGCUCUUAUGGGGUGCCUAGGAUCCAUCCUGGGUUCUUCCACACAAGUGGGCAUAAUACAGCUACCAAGAGCAGUCGCUGUGGUGGCCCAGGAU